AGAGUUUGAUCAUGGCUCAGGACGAACGCUGGCGGCGUGCUUAACACAUGCAAGUCAGGGGGGCUCGGGGCAACUCGGGCAACCGGCGAACGGGUGCGUAACACGUGAGCAACCUGCCCUCGUGUGGGGGAUAGCCGGGCUAACGCCCGGGUAAUACCGCAUACGUGUCCUCCGGGGGGUCCUGGGGGACGGAAAGUCUUCGGACGCACGGGGAGGGGCUCGCGGCCUAUCAGCUAGUUGGGGGGGUAACGGCCCACCAAGGCGACGACGGGUAGCUGGUCUGAGAGGAUGGCCAGCCACAUUGGGACUGAGGGACGGCCCAGACUCCUACGGGAGGCAGCAGUGGGGAAUCUUGCGCAAUGGCCGAGAGGCUGACGCAGCGACGCCGCGUGUGGGAGGACGCCUUUCGGGGUGUAAACCACUGUUGCCCGGGACGAACAGCCAGUUUCGACUGGCCUGACGGUACCGGGUGAGGAAGCACCGGCUAACUCCGUGCCAGCAGCCGCGGUAAUAC
rnacentral:rRNA from 1 species